UGGAAAAAAAUAUGGCGACUAAGAAACACUUAAUGUCAACAAGAUUUUCUGAUUGACAAGAGAAAAGGUCAAACAGGAACUUCAAUUGUGAACAUUGCAGAGAACACACCCAUCAGAAGAUGACCCUCAGAAAUAGGACAAUUAAUGAAUAAAAUGGACAGAGGCAGAACUGAAGGAGAUGCAUGAAAUGAGGAAUAUUUCAAAGAUUGCCUGAGCAUAACCACUGCUGCUGGAUAAACAUAUGGCAAUAUAAAAGAGCAGGGUCAAUGGAGGUAUCAUACAGUAUAGGCCAUGAGAGACCCUGAAGAAGAAAGUAUUGAACAGAAACAAAAAUAAAACCAUUUUGACAUUUAUUGAAAUAUAGGAUCAAAGUCUUACAUGUAAAAUUUGGGCAUGUAAUGACUUUUCUCUAGCUCUAAGACUUAUAACAGUGAUGAUUUGAUUUAAUAUCUUUAUCCCGAUUUGUGGAAAAGAUUUGGACAUAGUGCAUCAAUUAUUUUAAAGUUUUGAUACAACGAAUUCAUUCAUUGUACUUGUAACUAAGUUUUCUGGUGCGACACUGUUUUAUCGGCUUCAAAACUAAGUUUGUGAUUUCCAAACCAGAUUAAUGAGAUCAUGUAAUAUCUUUUAACAUCGGUGACUAUUUAAUCCAUUCUUUUACAUCCCAGAAGUAUUUUUAUUAUUACAGGGAAAAUAUGUAUUGUACAUGUAUCUGUAAUAAACAGGAUUAUAGAAAUUUUCCAUAUAAUACAACACAAUCGUAGCAGCUGAAGGCAAAUAUUUUAUCAAGGGUGUGAUCUAUUUAUCAAUAUGGUUUUCAGCAUCUUGCUCUACCUGUAAUGACUUGCUCCAAGUUCCAAUAUUUAAAUUUAAAUUUUGCAAACAUGGUUAUAAAAUUCUUUAAAAGCCAUUUAGUUUAGGCACAAA